rnacentral:rRNA from 1 species
AACGCACCUUGCGCUCCUUGGUAUUCCGAGGAGCAUGCCUGUUUGAGUGUCAUUAAAUUCUCAACUCCCUUUGAUUUCUUCGAAGGUGAGCUUGGAUCUUGGAGGCUUUGCCGGCCGUUUUGAUUCGGUCUGGCUCCCCUUGAAUGUAUUAGCUUGGACUUGUUCCUAAGGCUUCAUGGCGUGAUAAUUAUCUACGCUUUGUACUGUCUGUGGAAUAUCUAUGAGUCUAGCUUCUAACUGUCCUCUGGACAAUCUUUCAAUCUUUGACCUCAAAUCAGGUAGGACUACCCGCUGAACUUAA